rnacentral:rRNA from 1 species
AUUGAACGCUGGCGGCAGGCCUAACACAUGCAAGUCGAGCGGAGCGGCGGACGGGUGAUUAAUGCCUAGGAAUCUGCCUGGUAGUAGGGGAUAACGUCCGGAAAGGGGCGCUAAUACCGCAUACUAUCAGAUGAGCCUAGGGCGGAUUAGCUAGGUGGUGGGGUAAAGGCCUACCAAGGCGACGAUCCAUAACUGGUCUGAGAGGAGGAUCAGGCACACUGGAACUGAGACACGGUCCAGACUCCUACGGGAGGCAGCAGUGGGGAAUAUUGGACAAUGGGCGAAAGCCUGAACCAGCCAUGCCGCGUGUGUGAAGAAGGUCUUCGGAUUGUAAAGCUCUUUAAGUUGGGAGGCGUUACCAACAGAAUAAGCACCGGCUAACUUCGUGCCAGCAGCCGCGGUAAUUC